UACGGGGGGAGCAAGCGUUGUUCGGAUUUACUGGGCGUAAAGGGGCGCGUAGGCGGUCGUGACAAGUCACUUGUGAAAUCUCCGGGCUUAACUCGGAACGGUCAAGUGAUACUGUCGGACUAGAGUACAGAAGGGGCAACUGGAAUUCUCGGUGUAGCGGUGAAAUGCGUAGAUAUCGAGAGGAACACCUGCGGCGAAGGCGGGUUGCUGGGCUGAUACUGACGCUGAGGCGCGAAAGCCAGGGAGGCGAACGGG
rnacentral:rRNA from 1 species